CGCUGGCGGCAUGCCUUACACAUGCAAGUCGAACGGCAGCGCGGGGCAACCUGGCGGCGAGUGGCGAACGGGUGAGUAACAUAUCGGAACGUGCCCUGGAGUGGGGGAUAACGCAGCGAAAGUUGCGCUAAUACCGCAUACGAUCUAAGGAUGAAAGCGGGGGAUUCGCAAGAACCUCGUGCUCCUGGAGCGGCCGAUAUCUGAUUAGCUAGUUGGUGGGGUAAAGGCCUACCAAGGCAUCGAUCAGUAGCUGGUCUGAGAGGACGACCAGCCACACUGGAACUGAGACACGGUCCAGACUCCUACGGGAGGCAGCAGUGGGGAAUUUUGGACAAUGGGCGAAAGCCUGAUCCAGCAAUGCCGCGUGAGUGAAGAAGGCCUUCGGGUUGUAAAGCUCUUUUGUCAGGGAAGAAACGGUAUGGGCUAAUAUCCCGUACUAAUGACGGUAUCUGAAGAAUAAGCACCGGCUAACUACGUGCCAGCAGCCGCGGUAAUACGUAGGGUGCAAGCGUUAAUCGGAAUUACUGGGCGUAAAGCGUGCGCAGGCGGUUUUGUAAGUUUGUCGUGAAAGCCCCGGGCUCAACCUGGGAAUUGCGAUGAAGACUGCAAGGCUUGAAUCUGGCAGAGGGGGGUAGAAUUCCACGUGUAGCAGUGAAAUGCGUAGAGAUGUGGAGGAACACCGAU
rnacentral:rRNA from 1 species